rnacentral:pre_miRNA from 1 species
AAUAUAUCGUGUAGCCAAGGAUGAAUUGCCGGCGUUUCGCUAUCGAUUGGUACAUACGUGGGCGCCCGGCAAGUCAUUUCAGGCUACAUGUUUGCCUCU